rnacentral:rRNA from 1 species
UACAGAGGUCUCGAGCGUUAGGCGGAAUCACUGGGCUUAAAGCGUGUGUAGGCGGAUCGUUAAGUGCCUUGUGAAAUCCCACGGCUUAACCGUGGAACUGCUUGGCAUACUGGCGGUCUUGAGCAACCUAGGGGCGAGCGGAACAAAUGGUGGAGCGGUGAAAUGCGUAGAUAUCAUUUGGAACGCCAAUGGUGAAAACAGCUCGCUGGGGGUUUGCUGACGCUGAGACACGAAGGCCAGGGGAGCAAACGGG